CAUGAUGGAGACCGAACUCCCUGAAGCCCCAAUCACUCCAACUACUUUCUCCGGCUUGACGAAAACCGGAGGCUCGCCGUUGGUGCAGCGCACGUCGGAGGUGUCCUUCUGGAUGAGCGCCUGGACGAAAGUGAGCGACUGCUCGAGCGCAAGAAUGCUUGUCCAACACCAAAGAACGUUUGAGAAGUAAGAGAUGGAAAUAUAUGGAUACAUGUGCCAAGAAACAGGCUACCCCAAAAGGCUGAAUGAUUACCAAGAACUGGGAAUUGUGGAAAUUCUGCUUCUGUGAUUCCGGAUGAGACCUUGCAGAACCUUUGGCAUAACCAGCACAUAAAAGAGCAUCACAGAACUGGUGUGAUUUAAACAUGAGGAACAGGUACAGGUAAUGUGGUUUAGGACCAAAUCACUGAAGUACUGAAGAUUAAACAGAAUUAAUGAACUUUAGACUGCAGUCUCC